CGGGGGGGUAAGCGUUGUUCGGAAUUACUGGGCGUAAAGGGCUCGUAGGCGGCCAACUAAGUCAUACGUGAAAUCCCUCAGCUUAACUGGGGAACUGCGUGUGAUACUGGAUGGCUUGGAUUUGGGAGAGGGAUGCGGAAUUCCAGGUGUAGCGGUGAAAUGCGUAGAUAUCUGGAGGAACACCGGUGGCGAAGGCGGCAUCCUGGACCAAUAUUGACGCUGAGGAGCGAAAGCCAGGGGAGCAAACGGGAUUAGAUACCCCGGUGGUCCUGGCCCUAAACGAUGAAUGCUUGGUGUAGCGGGUAUCGAUCCCUGCUGUGCCGAAGCUAACGCAUUAAGCAUUCCGCCUGGGGAGUACGGUCGCAAGGCUG
rnacentral:rRNA from 1 species